rnacentral:tRNA from 1 species
GCAGCGGUGGUUCAGUGGUAGAGUUCUCACCUUCCGUGUGGGAGACCCAGGUUCGAUAUCUGACCAAUGUA